rnacentral:rRNA from 1 species
GUCGCUACUACCGAUUGAGUGGCUCAGUGAGGCCUUCGGACUGGCUCAGGAGGGUUGGCAACGACCCCCCAGAGCCGGAAAGUUGGUCAAACCCGGUCAUUUAGAGGAAGUAAAAGUCGUAACAAGGUUUCU